rnacentral:rRNA from 1 species
GAUGAACGCUGGCGGCGUGCUUAACACAUGCAAGUCGAACGGGAAACAUUUUAAUGAAGCUUCGGCAGAUUUGGUUUGUUUCUAGUGGCGGACGGGUGAGUAACGCGUGGGUAACCUGCCUCACACCGGGGGAUAACAGUCAGAAAUGGCUGCUAAUACCGCAUAAGCGCACGGAACCGCAUGGUUUGUGUGAAAAACUCCGGUGGUGUGAGAUGGACCCGCGUUGGAUUAGCCAGUUGGCAGGGUAACGGCCUACCAAAGCGACGAUCCAUAGCCGGCCUGAGAGGGUGAACGGCUACAUUGGGACUGAGACACGGCCCAG